UACGAAGGGGGCUAGCGUUGUUCGGAAUUACUGGGCGUAAAGCGCACGUAGGCGGACUUGUAAGUCAGGGGUGAAAUCCCGGGGCUCAACCCCGGAACUGCCUUUGAUACUGCGAGUCUUGAGGUCGAGAGAGGUGAGUGGAAUUCCGAGUGUAGAGGUGAAAUUCGUAGAUAUUCGGAGGAACACCAGUGGCGAAGGCGGCUCACUGGCUCGAUACUGACGCUGAGGUGCGAAAGCGUGGGGAGCAAACAGG
rnacentral:rRNA from 1 species